UACGUAGGGUGCGAGCGUUGUCCGGAAUUAUUGGGCGUAAAGAGCUCGUAGGCGGUCUGUCGCGUCUGCUGUGAAAUCCCGAGGCUCAACCUCGGGCUUGCAGUGGGUACGGGCAGGCUAGAGUGCGGUAGGGGAGAAUGGAACUCCUGGUGUAGCGGUGGAAUGCGCAGAUAUCAGGAAGAACAUCGAUGGCGAAGGCAGUUCUCUGGGCCGUAACUGACGCUGAGGAGCGAAAGCGUGGGGAGCGAACAGG
rnacentral:rRNA from 1 species